rnacentral:rRNA from 1 species
CCUACGGGUGGCAGCAGUGGGGAAUAUUGCACAAUGGGGGAAACCCUGAUGCAGCGACGCCGCGUGAGUGAAGAAGUAUUUCGGUAUGUAAAGCUCUGUCAGCAGGGAAGAAGAAAGACGGUACCUGACCAAGAAGCCCCGGCUAACUACGUGCCAGCAGCCGCGGUAAUACGUAGGGGGCAAGCGUUAUCCGGAAUCACUGGGUGUAAAGGGAGCGUAGACGGCUGUGCAAGCCUGGAGUGAAAGGCGGGGGCCCAACCCCCGGACUGCUCUGGGAACUGUAUGGCUGGAGUGCAGGAGAGGUAAGUGGAAUUCCUGGUGUAGCGGUGAAAUGCGUAGAUAUCAGGAGGAACACCAGUGGCGAAGGCGGCUUACUGGACUGUAACUGACGUUGAGGCUCGAAAGCGUGGGGAGCAAACAGGAUUAGAUACC